AGGAAGUGAGCGCAUCAUCCCACUGAGAUGCUUCCAGAGCCUCCGAGGCUCCUUUCCUGCCCUCUGUGCAUAAUUGCCCGUAAUGUCCACGAAGGGUUGGUCUAGAAACCCAGAGACGUAAUAAGUGAGGAAACAGCUACAAACCCAGAGCAUGCCCAGACAGAGCCUCCUUGCCUCUCCAGAGCAGAGCAGGCCAUGGAAAGUCCUCCCUGUGAGUCUUUAUGGACAGAGACGGUGGGAUCGUCACCACAGUGGGAAAGGAUAAAUAGAGUUAUUAUGAAGCACAUUUAAAUGUGUCAUUUAACUUACUUAGAAUUAGAGUGGUUCAUUUUAUAUAGGAAGCCAUUAUUUUUGUAUUGUGUAAUAAGUAGCUUACUCUGAAGAGAGCCUGGCAAAACAAUAAAACAUUGUCACUUACUAUUGGUUUCUGUGUACCUUGCAAAUUUUUCAUUUUUAUUUGGUUAAUAGCUUGAAAAUAUUCUCAAUUGGCUUCUUAAAGAAAUACCCUGUCAAGCAUUUAUUAACCAAAAAAUAGCCUCUUACAGUAAAUAAGAGGGAACUAUGAGAGUGUCUACCCGUGAAGCCCCAAGUGCCCUGGUAAUGGACCUGCUCUCCCUCCCUGUGCUGGAAAGCCAUUCCGAGGGUGCCUGUGCGUACACAGCCAGUCUUGGCUCCUCCCAACUGCACUGUUAAAGCGCAGCCCCGAAGACACUUUCUAGUGAUUUUGGUCUGUUGCUUAAAUCAUUUACUAGAUUAGUUUUAGGGCAACACUUUCCAAAUACAUAACUUGACUGUUGUGCUUAUCAGCUGCCAGAAAGAAACAGGUUAUUGUUGGGAAACCUUGCUGUUUUUAAAGUUUGAUUCAAUUAAAAGCAAUACUUCCAAAUAGACAGUGAAAACUUCCCAAAAGAGGAAGAAGCCCAGUGUACUGCCGCACAUCUGUAGUCCCAGCUGCUUGAAGCAGAGGCGGGAAGAGUGCUAGAGCCCAGGAGGUCCCUGCCAGGCCGGGCAACACUGCAAGACACAGUCUCAAAGGCCAAGCAGCCGAAAGGGCUCUCCUCACAGCCAGCUUUAUCACCUCUACGUUCUGGGCCAAACAGUGACAUGGGCAUUUUGGUUUUCCUAACAACUAACGAUGAAUGUUCUGAAGGUACAUUUCAUUUUAAAUACGGAAAAAACUUUUCAUAAUUACAGACAAGAAGGAAAAACCCCCGAUUUUCCAAUAAUAUAAAGAGCACAGUUGGUCUUCCAAAGGUGUCCAUGUGUGAAGCUACAAGUACUUCGAAAUGCACUAAAAUUUUGAAGCAAAUCUACCUUAGGAACUUUUUUGAAAUUGUACUUUUAAAGGUUUAGGCUUUUGCUUAAAUAUUCUGAGUUAAAUUCUGUACUAGGAAAGAUGUUGGAUUCUUUCCUUAAAUACUAAAUAAGUUCCUCAUCUUAUUUUUAAUCAAAUGUUUUAUAGAAAUGAGUUGAGAAAAGUUGACCAUGCACUAUUUAUAGUACUUUGCCAUAACAGGCAAUGUUCUAAAACUAAAUUUAUUUUUGUUUAGUGAACAUGAGUUUAGAUUUUUAAAGUUGGUAAUUUAUCUCCACUAAUAUUUUUUUAAAGAAACUGUGAAGAGAUUAACAGAAUAAUUUUAUUUCAGAUUUUACUAAUGUAGUGUGUAGCUACAACUUGACAUUCAAGUGAAGACUAGACUUCUGUUUUGAAAUUUUUCCAUCAGGUAGUUUCAGUGGUUUCAUUUUAGAAAUGUGUUUGCAGAUGUUUGACAAAGGGAAUAUUACUAAAAAAGAAAAGC
rnacentral:lncRNA from 1 species